CAUGCAUGUCUCAGUACAAGCAUCCUUGUACCGUGAAACUGCGAAUGGCUCAUUACAACAGUUAUAGUUUAUUUGAUCGUGCGGAGCUACGUGGAUAACCGUAGGAAUUCUAGAGCUAAUACAUGCACCGUCGCCGAAGAUCUUUGGUUAGACUUCGGCGGGAUUUAUUAGAUCAAAAACCAAUCGCUUCUUUCGUUUUUUUCGAGUAGAGGCGUGGUGGGAUGAAUCAUAAUAACUUAACCGAAUCGUAUGGCCAACAUUAGGCCGACGAUAAAUCAUUCAAAUUUCUGCCCUAUCAACUUUCGAUGGUAGGGUAGUGGCCUACCAUGGUGUUGACGGGUGACGGAGAAUUAGGGUUCGAUUCCGGAGAGGGAGCCUGAGAAACGGCUACCACAUCCAAGGAAGGCAGCAGGCGCGCAAAUUACCCAAUCCUGAUUCAGGGAGGUAGCGACAAGAAAUAACGAUAGUGGGCUCGUUCGAGUCCGCGCAUCGGAAUGAGGAUAAUUUACACCCCUUCUCGAGGAUCCAUUGGAGGGCAAGCCUGGUGCCAGCAGCCGCGGUAAUUCCAGCUCCGAUAGCGUAUACUAAAGUUGUUGCAGUUAAAAAGCUCGUAGUCGAAUGAAGGUUUCUUGUAUAGCGCGGACGUCUAGGUGUAACUUAGAUUAGUUUGCGCACAAGAACCUCCCUUGUGUGUCUCAGAGGAGCAAAUAUUUAUUUAUUUUGAUCCAUUUGCGACACACACAUUACUGUGAACAAAAUAGAGUGUUCAUGGCAGGUCAAUUUAGGCUUGA
rnacentral:rRNA from 1 species